GCUCGGGCCAUCCAGCUGCCUCUCAGGAGCCCAAUGAAUGUUCAGAUCAGAGACCUGCAGAGGACCUCACUGUCAGAGUGGAAAGACUAACAAAAAAACUUGAAGAAAGGAGAGAA